rnacentral:rRNA from 1 species
GUCUAUGGCCAUACCACCCUGAAUGCACUUGAUCUCAUCUGAUCUUAGAAGCUAAGCAGGGUCAGGCCUGGUUAGUACUUGAAUGGGAGACAUAGUAUAAAAUUUACCAUUAUAAAAU